rnacentral:misc_RNA from 1 species
AGUAAGUGCUGUCGCCACGUGCACCGCAGCUCGUUGAGGCUUUCGCUUUGGUGCGCCGUGUUCUGUUUUCCCUCCCUCCCCCCCCUCCCCGCUCUCCCACCUCCUCGUCGAUCUCUCUUGACGCCUCCUUCGGUGUCCUCUCCUGCUUUGCUUUACGUACGUGCUCUGUACAGCGCAGCGGCGGCGCUACAACGACGCAAGCACGCAAGAGGGUGCAGGCGCGUCCCCGUCGAAGCAAACGCCUCGCGAGACGCGGAAACCCCAACCACCUGAACCUGUAUACACCUAUGUGUACCCACGCAAGCAUGGCGCUUGUGGCUGCUGUAGCGCUGGUGUUGGUGCUACCGGUCAGCAGGGCGCGCCCCGUGGGGAUGAGAUCGAUGUCAGCGUACACGGAAGCGCAGCAACUCCAUACGCGCAAGUUUCUGGAUGGGUUUCUGCAGUCGAUGCCAAAUCUCCACAGCAUCUGGGCCGGUGACAACUUCUGCGCCUGGAAAGGAGUGACGUGUCUCCGCGACGGGGUGUCCAUCAGCGCCACCAACUGGGCCCAGCUGGCUGUCUCCCCCGGCCGUCUGCCGGAGGUGUCGAGCGCCGACUUUGAUGUGUCGCAGGUGUUUGUCACCUCCAUCAGUGUGCGCGCAAACGGGCGGAACUUGUCAGGGACGCUUCCAGCCAGCUGGGGCUUGCUGCGAAAUCUGCGCAAGGUGCGAUUGGAGAGUAACAACCUCAGCGGCAGCCUCCCGCCUGAGUGGAGCGGCCUGCGCAGUUUGAGGGAGCUCUACCUAAGCAACAACAAUCUCACCGGCACCCUUCCGGCGUCGUGGGGAGAGAGCAUGAAGAGCCUCGCCAUCUUGAACCUCAAUCGCAACGCCCUGGCUGGUACGCUGCCGCCGGAGUGGGGACGCAUGAGGUCGAUGCAGACCUUGGUGUUGGAAAGCAACCGGCUCAGUGGCACACUGCCUGCGGAUUGGCGAUUUAUGCGAGCUGCCUCGACGCUGAUGAUAGGCAGGAACGACCUCAGCGGCACCCUCCCACACGAAUGGGCGGAGAUGUCAAUGAUGGAGUGGAUGGACCUGCACUCGAACCGCCUCACCGGCUGGUUGCCUGCGGCUUGGGCGACGAUGACCUUCCUGAAUACCCUGCUGCUUUUCGACAACAGCUUCACCGGUACUCUGCCUGCGGAAUGGGCGCGCCUGGAAUUCCUGGAGGAACUACGUAUGCAGGACAACGUACUCGUCGGCACCCUGCCUGCGUCGUGGAGUGCCAUGGAGUUCAUGCAAGUGCUGGACAUCUCCGAGAACACACUGAGCGGCACGCUACCGGUGUUGUGGAGCUCGAUGCAGUCUCUCGAAACGCUGAGCAUCCGCGGCAACCAGCUAAGUGGCUCUCUCCCGAUUGAGUGGAGGACACUGCCGAAUAUUAUGUAUCUCCACCUGGAGGGCAACGCUCUCUGCGGCUGCCUUCCGCUUAACUGGACAAGCCGUUACGUCGCCGUCACAGUCGACGAGGCGGUCAUGAGUGUCAACUGUGCCAUAGAGAACGCGUGUAACGACGUAAAUAUCGACUCUAUCAGCGACAAGAUCUCCAGCAGUUGCAGUUCCUCGACGGGCCCAAACGGGGCCGUCGACGGUAGCGAUGCUACCUUCAGCUCGUGGGAUGCGUCGGCGUCUUCCGCCUCUAAUGACCCCUUGAGCCACAGCACCGGCGGCGCCUCCUCUUGAUUGAAUACAUGCGACCUGCACCACUGCCAGCGACGCGGCCGCGGCGAUCCGACGUUGUGCACGCAGUGCGAUGACCGCUCUGCCCUCGCAGCUGGCUACACCCAUCAAUCGUCGAGCCCAAGGCUGCGCUUAUGUUGAGAGAGCGUGCACACACACGGGGUGGGGGAAAAGGUUUGGUAGUCGCACUGCUACACAAGCGCGGAUGUGCCGGGAGUGGCGUCGUCGGCUAGUGCCAGCGUCCUUUUCGAAAUAUGGUACAACCCGAACGACUUGUGUGCUCUUAUUUAUUAUGAUUAUGUCGUUUCCGUUUUUUUUUCUCUCUCCCCCCCUCUCCGUGUUGCUUAGUGUAACAGCGGGUGGCAAAGAGGCGUUGCUCGCUCUUCACCACGGUGUGUGUGUGUGUGUGUAUAAAUUAGUGCGCAGGUGCCGCGUUCAACGCCUGCCGCUCCCCAUGAGCUCUUCAUUCCUCUCUCUCUCUUUCCCUCCCAAUCUCCCCCCCCCCUCCCUCUGCAUCCGCUGUGUAAAUGUAUGCAUUGGCCUAUGUGCUUCAGAGAGCAUGUGUACGUGCGUAUCCCUCGUACUCUUCUGCAUCCUCUCCAGCAUUUCUGUUUGUUUUUUGCUCGGUCAGCUCGGAGAAGACUCUUCACCAUGGCAAACGGCCUGCCACACAUACACACAUACACGUUCACCGGUCACCGCCCCCCCCCCACCCCACCCCACCCCAACCCCUUCGCCUUUUGUCUUUUCCCUGUAUGUACAAAUCUGGGUAGUCUCUCUCUCUCCCCCCCCCCUUUCUUUUGUUUUCGCCUCUCUAUGCUUUUAUCUGUGUGUCCACAUCGUUGAUCGUAGACUCCCUUGCUCGUGUUCGUUCUUUCUCUCCCUCUUCCCUGCGCUCCCUAUCUUUUUGGUGUGGGUGUGUGUGGGUGUGGGUGGGUAGGUGUGUCCUCAUCUGCUUUUCUUUGUUCCUCUUCGCUUACAGUUAUGCUUUUUUAUUUGCGCUCGACCCUCCCCCUCCUGCAUUGUUCUCUCUCGUAUGUGUUUUCGCUUCGUGCUUGCCAUCUUGAACGCUUCUCCUCUUGUUUUUCUUUCACUUUCCUUCUGCACACACCGGCACACAGGCACGCACGCAUACGCAGCCUCUUCUCUCCGUGCGUGUCACUGCACGGCAGAGGAGACGCUUUCAUUCGGUUUCAGGUCCUCCCUCACCGUGUCUUUGCGUGCCCCUUCCCUUUCGUGUCUGUGCGUGCGUGCCUGUGUGCUGGUGUGUGGUUGUCCUCUUCGUCCCCAUCCUCCUUUUAGCGGUGUCGCAGUUGUUGCCAUUCCUCACGAAUGAGUCCCCCGUUCCUCCGCGCCAUUUCCUUGGGUCACACACACCCACACACAUACCCCUCCCCCUGCUUAUCAUUUUUUUUUCGUAUUGUUGCUCGCUUUCCUCGUCGGUGCUGGCUCGUUUGGUCAAACCCUUGCGUGUUUAGAUCUUCCCAGCAUCUAUAACCCUCUUCUCCUCUCAUUCUGUGUUCAGGCUACACGGCUUGAAUAGACGCUUGCUCCUCCCCCCCCCUCUCACCGACGCACCCACGUGCGUCUCUCCCAUACGCUUGCCCUCUCUCUUUUUCGCUUCAUAUGCUAACUUUUUUUUCGUUGAUUAUUUUAUUUUUUGUUGUUGUUGCCUUCCCGGCGAUGUGUGCAUUGCUGUGUGCGUGCGUGUGUGCAUCGCCACAGCAGUGCCCUUCUCGUUCUCUAUGAAGACUUCAUCAGCCACGCGUCAUCGAUCUAUAUGUUUCCGAGAUAUGUGCAUGCGUACGUCGUGCGGUUAUGAGUGCUUCUGUGAAUGCGCGUCUGGCAUGAGGAACCCACGUGUACAUAUGUAUAUAUAUAUAUAUAUAUAAAGCAAAGACCACACCUUCGCAAGAGAGGCGAGAGACACGUGAGCAGUUUCGGGUGUGCAUGACCGCCGUACCACGACGCCAUGUGCAUUAUGCAGUCUUCGAGGAAGCCGAGAAAGGCGGAAGGCGGGGCAAUGUCACCCUCCCACCUCCCUCCUCCCCUUCUCUGCUGCGCCGCGGACGUUACACCAAGCAACGCACUCGGGUCGCUCAAUCGACCCGGACUCAGGCCCUGCAAGUCGUACAAUCCCUCUCACAAAAGCACACACGCAUGCAUCUGUGUUCAUUCCCCCUUCCCCUUUUCUCUCCUCAUCCAUUCCCCUCUCCAUGCUUUGUCGUCGCUGUACCCCGUGUGUGGUCUGCCCCCUGCGCAACGAUACAUCUCGACGGUGCACCCCGUGUCUCCUUGCCUGUUCCCCCCCCCACGUAAUGGUCAACCAAAG